rnacentral:pre_miRNA from 1 species
GGCUGGUUAGGCUGCAAAUCUGGCUUUAGAUCAUAUUUGCGACCAAAAUCAUGCCAC